GACGAACGCUGGCGGCGUGCCUAAUACAUGCAAGUAGAACGCUGAAGAGAGGAGCUUGCUCUUCUUGGAUGAGUUGCGAACGGGUGAGUAACGCGUAGGUAACCUGCCUUGUAGCGGGGGAUAACUAUUGGAAACGAUAGCUAAUACCGCAUAACAAUGGAUGACACAUGUCAUUUAUUUGAAAGGGGCAAUUGCUCCACUACAAGAUGGACCUGCGUUGUAUUAGCUAGUAGGUGAGGUAACGGCUCACCUAGGCGACGAUACAUAGCCGACCUGAGAGGGUGAUCGGCCACACUGGGACUGAGACACGGCCCAGACUCCUACGGGAGGCAGCAGUAGGGAAUCUUCGGCAAUGGGGGCAACCCUGACCGAGCAACGCCGCGUGAGUGAAGAAGGGUUUCGGAUCGUAAAGCUCUGUUGUAAGUCAAGAACGAGUGUGAGAGUGGAAAGUUCACACUGUGACGGUAGCUGACCAGAAAGGGACGGCUAACUACGUG
rnacentral:rRNA from 1 species